UGAUGGCCAUAUCAUGUUGAAAACAUUGGUUCUUGUAUGAUCACCAAAGUUAAGCAAUGUCGAACCUCACCAGUACCUAGAUGGGACACCACUUGGGAAUAUCAGGUGCUGCGA